AUGGGGACGCGGGAGGUGUACGAGGAGAAGCUCCGCAGCGGCGCGCACCUCCACCGCGACCCCACCAUCAACCCCGGCCUCGGCUCCGCCCGCUGCCCCCGCUGCCUCUCCCUCCUCAACCCGACCACCAGCUCCGGAGGGCGCGACUGGGCCAUCACCUCCGUCCUGCACGACGCCACCGCCGUGACUGGUUCUGGCGCCGGGGCGAUGCUCAGUGCGGUGCACGGGUUUAAUACAGGGAUCCCGUUUGUCCAGAAGCAUGUGAAGGGGCCCAAGUGGCUGCACUUACUUGUUGGGGUCCCUCCUUUGAUCUUAUUCUCUGGUGCCAGUGCUUUAUUUGGGGCUUACGCGCUCCCAACGUUUGCCCAGCUCACUGUGACAUCCUACUAUGCCGCAUCAAGUGCCUCUCACUACGCAGUUUCACAGAUCACACGCCACAUCGAGAAGGCCCAUUUAUCUGGCGCUCCUGACGAGAAGUCUUGA
rnacentral:rRNA from 1 species